GCGUGUAUUUGGCAAGCUAACAAGCCACCGUGCUCCUUUGUCAGUUUGUCAAAUACACCGGG
rnacentral:pre_miRNA from 1 species